GAUGAACGCUGGCGGCAUGCCUAAUACAUGCAAGUCGAGCGAACGGACGAGAAUCUUUCUUCUCUGCUGUUAGCGGCGGACGGGUGAUUACCACGUGGAUAACCUACCUAUAAGACUGGGAUACCUUCGGGAAACCGUAUCUCAUACCGGAUAAUAUUUUGAACCGCAUGGUUCAAAGGUGAAAGACGGUCUUGCUGUCACUAAUAGAUGGAUCCGAGCUGCAUUAGCUAGUUGGUAAGGUAACGGCUUACCAAGGCAACGAUGCAUAGCCGACCUGAGAGGGUGAUCGGCCACACUGGAACUGAGACACGGUCCAGACUCCUACGGGAGGCAGCAGUAGGGAAUCUUCCGCAAUGGGCGAAAGCCUGACGGAGCAACGCCGCGUGAGUGAUGAAGGUCUUCGGAUCGUAAAACUCUGUUAGUAGGGAAGAACAUAUGUGUAAGUAACUGUGCAUAUCUUGACGGUACCUAAUCAGAAAGCCACGGCUAACUACGUG
rnacentral:rRNA from 1 species